AUGUUCGGAGCGGGGGGCAAAUGGUUGGCUUCCUCCGUUACGGAGGGGCACAUCAAAAAGUUGCGCGGCGCCGGAUACCUGCCCGCGAAUAUCGCGCAUCGGCUGCCUGCUGCGGGGCAGAUCGUCCCUACCCCGGAACCUCAUGAAAGGGUAGUUUUCCUUCACCACUUCCUAAGCAGACUGGGGUUUCCCCUUCAUCCAUUCGUCCGUGGUCUCAUGUUCUACUACGGGCUGGACUUUCAUGAUCUGGCCCCGAACUUCAUCCUCAACAUUUCGGCGUUCAUCGUUGUCUGUGAGGCUUUCCUUCGCGUCCGGCCCCACUUCGGCCUGUGGCUGAAGAGCUUUAACAUCAAGCCGAAGGUGGUGGGAGGCAAGCAAGCAGAAUGCGGCGGAGCCAUGGUGGGCAAGAUGCCCAAUGUCACAUGGCUUGAGGGCUCCUUCGUGGAGACCAUAAAGGGGUGGCAGUCGGCCUGGUUCUACAUCACCGAGCCACGCGACACCAAAAUGCCGGCGGCCCCCGAGUUUCGAUCCGGAUUCCCUACACGGCUCACUUCCUGGAAAGAGAAGGGCUUGUCGUGGGGUUCGUCGAUGGAGCUGGACGGACUCCAGAAAUAUAUCCGGAGUAUGGCAAGGAAGAAGCUCAAGCUUGUCAACAUAGUCCAGGUCAUGCUCAUCCGCCGGAUCCCCCCGUGUCAACAACGGGAUUUGAACUUGUGGGAGUUCGACCCGGCUCAGCACCAGACUCUGAGCGAGCUCUUCGAUACGACGCACAAGGACAUCUGGAGGGUGAUGUUCAAGGGCGCCGAGGUCCCUCCCUCUCUCGCCGAGGACCGCGGGCUAAGCGCAAAGCGCCUAGCGCGUUUGGUGAGUUCUAUACAUCAGUAG
rnacentral:rRNA from 1 species